rnacentral:rRNA from 1 species
CAGUAGCCGCGGUAAUACGUAGGGUGCAAGCGUUGUCCGGAAUUAUUGGGCGUAAAGAGCUCGUAGGCGGUUUGUCGCGUCGGCUGUGAAAACCUGGGGCUCAACCCCGGGCCUGCAGCCGAUACGGGCAAGCUAGAAUUCGGUAGGGGAGACUGGAAUUCCUGGUGUAGCGGUGAAAUGCGCAGAUAUUAGGAGGAACACCGGUGGCGAAGGCGGGUCUCUGGGCCGAUAUUGACGCUGAGGAGCGAAAGCGUGGGGAGCAAACAGGAUUAGAGACCCCCGUAGUCCCUGUCUCUUAUAC